rnacentral:rRNA from 1 species
AACGAACGCUGGCGGCAGGCCUAACACAUGCAAGUCGAACGGGCACCUUCGGGUGUCAGUGGCAGACGGGUGAGUAACGCGUGGGAACCUACCCAGUAGUACGGAAUAGCCCGGGGAAACUCGGGGUAAUACCGUAUACGCCCUCCGGGGGAAAGAUUUAUCGCUAUUGGAUGGGCCCGCGUUGGAUUAGCUAGUUGGUGGGGUAAUGGCCUACCAAGGCAACGAUCCAUAGCUGGUCUGAGAGGAUGAUCAGCCACACUGGGACUGAGACACGGCC